rnacentral:lncRNA from 10 species
CCCAGGGCUGAAGUGGCCAAUUACCUGCCUUCUGCACAGGACGACGGCCGUGUAUAAAUCAACUUGGAGCUGAGCUGCAGUCAACCCCUGAACUACUUAUUAAAAAGAAGCACUGAGCAGAUGAACGCUCUGCUCAUGACUGAGAGGGGAAGAGAACAGACUGUGUCCAAGUCCAUCAACACAUCAUCUGUGCACCAGGAAUGCUCCAAACACAAACAGCCCUAGUGAGUCACAAGGAUAGAUGAAUGCUACGGUGAUUCUUACAUUUGCAGUCAGGACCACAGAGUGCUGGAGACAAGAGGCAGCUUAGAAACCAUCUAGUGACUAAAGAUGCAGAAAUUCAGGCCCAGAACAAUUAACCGGCCCACAGUGUUACUCCAAGCCAGGUAUACUUACUAUAAAAAAGAGUAUCACAAAACUCUACAUGUGAGGUAUUUCAUUUAUGUCUCUUUUUGCUAUUUCAGAUGGUUUCCUCUCAGAACUAAAAGCACAUUGUAUUGCACAUUGUAGAUACUCAAAGUCUGUUAAAUAAAUAAACCAAUGAGGUAAUGUACAUAACCCUGCAGAAGGAUUUCAGUACAAUGCUAUUUAUAAUAGCAAAAAAGAGGAAAAAGUAAAGAGCAAAUAUAAGGAAAAGGAGUGAGCAUCCAUAUAAGAUAUAGUCAUUUAAAAUAUGUUUAUAGAGUCCCAGUGUCACUUGGAAAUGCUGAUAACGUAAUGUUAAGAAGAAAAGCAGAACACUAAAUCGCACAUAUUCUAGGAUCUCGGCAUUAUAAAGAAAAAUGCACAGUAAUAUAUUUGGGG